CCGCUGGAGCACGUGUACCAAGGUAGCUAGCUGUAUUUUAGCGAGAAUAGUUUUAGGGUAGUACUCGCAAGGAAGCCACAUAUUUGACAAGAACGAGUAGGCGGUGCGAGAGACUGCAGUAUCCAUAACCUGUGCACAAAGACAAGGCUUACAGUUUCGCACAUGUUGUUGGAACCAUAGGCGCUCGUAGUAUGAAGAUGAAGCUUAUUAGCUGCGUUGCAACUGUGUUGGUCGUGUGCAGUCUCUUGUUGCCUGUGGAAGGAGAAAGAGUCCUGCUCGCAGCGCACGGAGGUGGUAACAGCCUCUCGAACUACAGGAGAGUCUGGCCGUCGCGUCAAGGGAAGCACUGCUGGAGACGGAACGAGGUGUUUAAGGAAUGCGUCGGCACUGGCUGUGAAGAGGGCACCUGCUGGAAACCUACAAUCGGUCCCAGGUGCUUUAGAAACUGCAAAAGCGGAUGCUACUGCGGAAAAAACUAUUACAGGAACCACAGAGGCAAAUGUGUUGCAUGGAGAACGUGCCUUAAGGAGCUGUAUCCUUGGACCUACGAAAACUAUCCAUUUGGCCAAAAUCAGUGGUGGUCACCGACGUCACACAGCUAACCCGUGUCGAUUUGCAGAUUCGGCUUCCCGACACUCCAGUAGAACGUGGAGGACGGUCAGCCUCUCCCCGCAUCUACCACAGGUUGGAGGAUCGUUUCCUG